rnacentral:rRNA from 1 species
UAACAGGAUUCCCCUAGUAACUGCGAGUGAAGCGGGAAAAGCUCAAAUUUAAAAUCUGGCAGUCUCACUGUCCGAGUUGUAAUCUGGAGAAGCAUUUUCUGUGCUAGACCGUGUACAAGUCUCUUGGAAUAGAGCGUCAUAGAGGGUGAGAAUCCCGUCCAUGACACGGAUUACUAGUGCUUUGUGAUAUGCUCUCGAAGAGUCGAGUUGUUUGGGAAUGCAGCUCAAAAUGGGUGGUAAAUUCCAUCUAAAGCUAAAUAUUGGCGAGAGACCGAUAGCGAACAAGUACCGUGAGGGAAAGAUGAAAAGCACUUUGGAAAGAGAGUUAAACAGUACGUGAAAUUGUUGAAAGGGAAACGCUUGAAGUCAGUCGCGUUGUCUGAGACUCAGCCUUGCUUGCAUGGUGUACUUCUCAGUUAACGGGUCAACAUCAAUUUCAGUUGGUGGAUAAAGGCAUUGGGAAUGUGGCACCUUCGGGUGUGUUAUAGCCCUUUGUUGCAUACACUGACCGGGAUUGAGGAACGCAGCACGCCACUAAGGCCAGGGGUUCGCCCCAUGUAACGUGCUUAGGAUGUUGGCAUAAUGGCUUUAAGCGACCCGUCUUGAAACACGGACCAAGGAGUCUAACAUGCCUGCGAGUAUUAGGGUGGAAAACCCUUGUGCGUAAUGAAAGUGAAAGUUGGGACCUCUUUGAGGGCACCGACGCCUGGCCCUGAAGUUUACUGACGGCGCUACGGUAGAGCAUGUAUGUUGGGACCCGAAAGAUGGUGAACUAUGCCUGAAUAGGGUGAAGCCAGGGGAAACUCUGGUGGAGGCUCGUAGCGAUUCUGACGUGCAAAUCGAUCGUCAAAUUUGGG